rnacentral:rRNA from 1 species
UACGUAGGGGGCAAGCGUUAUCCGGAUUCACUGGGUGUAAAGGGAGCGUAGACGGCGACGCAAGUCUGGAGUGAAAGCCCGGGGCCCAACCCCGGGACUGCUCUGGAAACUGCGUCGCUGGAGUACGGGAGGGGCAGGCGGAAUUCCUGGUGUAGCGGUGAAAUGCGUAGAUAUCAGGAGGAACACCGGCGGCGAAGGCGGCCUGCUGGACCGUGACUGACAUUGAGGCUCGAGAGCGUGGGGAGCAAACAGG